GGCAGCAGCCGCGGUAACACCGGCGGCCCGAGUGGUGAUCGUGAUUAUUGGGUCUAAAGGGUCCGUAGCCGGUUUGAUCAGUCCUCCGGGAAAUCUGAUAGCUCAACUAUUAGGCUUUCGGGGGAUACUGCCAGACUUGGAACCGGGAGAGGUAAGAGGUACUACAGGGGUAGGAGUGAAAUCUUGUAAUCCCUGUGGGACCACCUGUGGCGAAGGCGUCUUACCAGAACGGGUUCGACGGUGAGGGACGAAAGCUGGGGGCACGAACCGGAUUAGAUACCCGGGUAGUCCCAGCCGUAAACGAUGCUCGCUAGGUGUCAGGCAUGGCGCGACCGUGUCUGGUGCCGCAGGGAAGCCGUGAAGCGAGCCACCUGGGAAGUACGGCCGCAAGGCUGAAACUUAAAGGAAUUGGCGGGGGAGCACAACAACGGGUGGAAGCCUGCGGUUUAAUUGGACUCAACGCCGGACAACUCACCGGGGGCGACAGCAAUAUGUAGGCCAAGCUGAAGACUUUGCCUGAAUCGCUGAGAAGUGGUGCAUGG
rnacentral:rRNA from 1 species